GGACCAUGGCUCAGUGGUAGAACAUCUGCUUUCCAUGCAGAAGGUCUCAGGUUCAAUCCCCAGCAUCUCCA